rnacentral:rRNA from 1 species
UACGUAGGUCCCGAGCGUUGUCCGGAUUUAUUGGGCGUAAAGCGAGCGCAGGUGGUUUAUUAAGUCUGGUGUAAAAGGCAGUGGCUCAAUCAUUGUAUGCAUUGGAAACUGGUAGACUUGAGAGCAGGAGAGGAGAGUGGAAUUCCAUGUGUAGCGGUGAAAUGCGUAGAUGUAUGGAGGAACACCGGUGGCGAAAGCGGCUCUCUGGCCUGUAACUGACACUGAGGCUCGAAAGCGUGGGGAGCAAACAGG